ACGUAGGGUGCAAGCGUUGUCCGGAUUCAUUGGGCGUAAAGGGCUAGUAGGCGGCUUAGCAAGUCGGGUGUGAAAACUUCAGGCUCAACCUGGAGCGGCCAUCCGAUACUGCUAUGGCUAGAGUCCGGUAGGGGACCACGGAAUUCCAGGUGUAGCGGUGAAAUGCGUAGAUAUCUGGAGGAAUACCGGUGGCGAAGGCGGCAUCCUGGACCGGCAUUGACGCUGAGGAGCGAAAGCCAGGGGAGCAAACGGGA
rnacentral:rRNA from 1 species